rnacentral:tRNA from 1 species
GGCCUCGUAGCUCAGUUGUCUAGAGCGUUGGCUCUACUAAAGCCCUGCGCUUGCUGGCUUGGGAUCAAAUCCCACAUAGGCCA